rnacentral:rRNA from 1 species
GAUGAACGCUGGCGGCGUGCCUAAUACAUGCAAGUCGAGCGAACGGACGAGAAGCUUGCUUCUCUGAUGUUAGCGGCGGACGGGUGAGUAACACGUGGAUAACCUACCUAUAAGACUGGGAUAACUUCGGGAAACCGGAGCUAAUACCGGAUAAUAUUUUGAACCGCAUGGUUCAAAAGUGAAAGACGGUCUUGCUGUCACUUAUAGAUGGAUCCGCGCUGCAUUAGCUAGUUGGUAAGGUAACGGCUUACCAAGGCAACGAUGCAUAGCCGACCUGAGAGGGUGAUCGGCCACACUGGAACUGAGACACGGUCCAGACUCCUACGGGAGGCAGCAGUAGGGAAUCUUCCGCAAUGGGCGAAAGCCUGACGGAGCAACGCCGCGUGAGUGAUGAAGGUCUUCGGAUCGUAAAACUCUGUUAUUAGGGAAGAACAUAUGUGUAAGUAACUGUGAACAUCUUGACGGUACCUAAUCAGAAAGCCACGGCUAACUACGU